UAUGAGUGACAUGAACUUGGCUGAUGCCAAGGCCAAGGUGUUUGCCAUCGAUCUGCAGAAGCAGUUGAGGCCUUACAUGGAAUCCAUGGUUCCACUCCCUGGAAUCUAUGACCCGGAUUUCAUUGCUGCCAACCAGGAAGACCAUGCCAACAACAUCAUCAAGGGCACUAAGAAAGAACAAGUUCAGCAAAUCAUUAAAGCCAUUAACUUUUUGCGGCUUUGAACAUCAACAAAAGAAGUGCUGAUCGGGACUUGGAUGUGUAUCGUACCCUGCUUUCAAAGUUGGUUCAAGCAAAAGAGCUGCUAAAGGAGUAUAUUGACAGGGAGAAGAAGAAACAAGAAGAAAGGGCUGAACCACAGAAGGCUAAUGAGGCCAUCACAAAAUGUUUGGGACAACGAUUGCCUUGUCUGUAGUUAUGGCCUUCUGAAACAAUCUCCUACUGAAGACUUAUCCUUCACAAUUUAUUUUUGUUGAUCUUUGAGUUGGAUUAAGCAAAGUCGGAACUUCUAUCAUCUUAAUUUAGCAGGAUUUGAAUCAUCUAAAGACAAGAGUACACUUCAAUGGAUAAAGUAUAAUAAUAACAAUUGAUUAUCAAUGAUAGUGAUUUUAAUAAAACAUGUGUAAAGUAAAUUUGAAAUUUAUUAUAAUCUCAAUCGUUGAUUAAACAAAAAUUAUUAUUAUCUGCUUUAUUCUAUAGUGUGCAAUUUAGAACAUAUCCUUGAUUUUAUAUAUACUUAUUGUAAAUUGUAAGCUCCGGUCAUUGUGAUCCACCUAAAUCCUUGUUUCGCCAAACCCACUAUUAGUUUAUCCGUCCAACUCACCUUGUGGUCACAAAUGUAUUUUGUGGCCCUCAAACGCAAGUCUCAAAACAUAUGUUCUAGAUAUCACUAUUUGUUUUGACAUUUCAGGGUGUAACACCUUUCACAUAUCAUUUUCAUUGUUUAAAUUUGCUAUCA